UACGGAGGGAGCUAGCGUUGUUCGGAAAUACUGGGCGUAAAGCGUACGUAGGCGGCUUUGUAAGUUAGAGGUGAAAGCCCGGGGCUCAACUCCGGAAUUGCCUUUAAGACUGCAUCGCUUGAAUCAUGGAGAGGUUAGUGGAAUUCCGAGUGUAGAGGUGAAAUUCGUAGAUAUUCGGAAGAACACCAGUGGCGAAGGCGACUAACUGGACAUGUAUUGACGCUGAGGUACGAAAGCGUGGGGAGCAAACAGG
rnacentral:rRNA from 1 species